CAGGACUGAGUUUAAUUCUAAACCCACUGCUGAGGGAAAUCCGGCUUCUGAUUAUUCAAUGACCAAUAAUCACCUGCAACUGUCUGAUCUGCAUCCUAAAUAAAUAAACUGAUGAAUCCCUCAGACCAUGGUCCUGCUCAUGGUGAAGUGUGAGAAGCUCCUGAGCGCUGGAGCAGCACAUAGUCAUGAAAAAUGUCAAGAAAACAAAGUUUUGAAACUGAAGGUUCUGCUUCUAGUGAAAGAGUGGAACGAGGUGAAGAUUUAGAGAUAGAUUUCAUCUCAGAUUGCUUGGCACGAACGCCCAGAGCGGUGGUGUAGCUGCAGGUGUAACCCGGAGUCUGAAGAUGAUGGUGGAGGAAACAGACACGUGGAGAAAAUCAGAACACUGGUGUGGCUCCUGUUUAUUGAUUGGCAUCACGCUGCUUUCUGGGAAACUCAUCAGAAAGGUGGAGGAAGAGAAGUGUUUAAUGAUGAAGGUGGCGAUCAUGCAGGAUUCCCUCUGAGCUGGAACCAUCAAGAAGAUCAAUACAAUCACAACAUCUGUCUGUGCUCACUCUGGAACAUUCUGGAAUACUGCAUGUUCCACUCAAGUCCUACAGCAUGCAAAUGUUCUGCAGCAGAACCCAGAGAACCGUCUAAUCAGAAGCUCUCUCUCAGGAGUUACUACGUCAAAGCAACAUUAUGGAAGUUUUCAGGAGAAAUGAGUGACGUCGUAUCAUAGAGUAGAACAUUACUGACAAAUCAAGCAUAGUCAUCAUCAUCAUCAUCAUCAUCAUCACCAUCAUCUGAACAUUGUGAGAUUUCAGCUACAUCUCUUCUCCUCAGAAGCUGAUCUCACGUCAUUGUGUUUAAACAUUAUUCCCAUCAAACUGCAAAUAUCUCCACGACUGAUGUUUAAUGAGCACUUUACAACAAAAACAAACUAAAACUAACAGAAGACAAGACUUUUAUAUUACAUCCUGUGAUUUUUCAUUUCGGAAACAAAAAUAAAUAUAAAUUUGUUUUGGAAAAGUGCUGAAUUAUCUACAUAUAUUCAUCAGGCAGGUUUAGAAAAAGCAGAACGAGCGUCUCGAAGGCAUGCGGAGAGGGAGGGGCAAAGCAAUCCACCAAUCACAGAGAGGGGUCGCUAAUAAGCAGGCCAAUAAGAUAAAGGUCUCUGGAUAAUGGGCGGGGCUUAACAGAUAUGUAAUGAGGAAUCCUAGUAAUGAGGAAGAGAUAUGUGGUGGAGAGAGUGUGUGUGUGUGUGUGAGAGUG